rnacentral:lncRNA from 1 species
ACACUCACAUUAUUAUAGGUUUAGACUAGACCCAAAAACUCACCAAAUUUAUAAUCAAGUUCCUAAGUUUCAAGCCUAGGGUUAAGUCCCAACUUCUUUCCAAUAUCAUAAAUCUAAGGGUAUUCACAUAAUACCAUACACAUAACACUUAAUUACAUGUACCAAUAUAUCAAAACUUGAAUCCUAAUAUAAUAACCAAAAAUAUAAAUUUACACCAGACUAACUUAGGAACAGUAACGUGGAAGAAUUGAUCUUUUUCCUGGUUUUUGACACACUCUUUUUCCAACCAAUGAUUGGCUCAUUAUGGCCAAUCACUGGCCCACAUAUGCCUAUUCAUUUAACCCCCC